UUCGGACUGUAGUCUGCAACCCGACUACACGAAGCUGGAAUCGCUAGUAAUCGCGGAUCAGAAUGCCGCGGUGAAUACGUUCCCGGGUCUUGUACACACCGCCCGUCACACCAUGGGAGUCAGUAACGCCCGAAGUCAGUGACCUAACCGAAAGGGAGGAGCUGCCGAAGGCGGGACGGAUGACUGGGGUGAAGUCGUAACAAGGUAGC
rnacentral:rRNA from 1 species